GUAGUCCACGCCGUAAACGAUGGAUGCUAGGUGUAGGAGGUAUCGACCCCUUCUGUGCCGCAGUUAACACAAUAAGCAUCCCGCCUGGGGAGUACGGCCGCAAGGUUGAAACUCAAAGGAAUUGACGGGGGCCCGCACAAGCAGCGGAGCAUGUGGUUUAAUUCGAAGCAACGCGAAGAACCUUACCAGGUCUUGACAUCGAUGGAACAUCUGGAGACAGAUGGUGCCCUUCGGGGCCCUGAAGACAGGUGGUGCAUGGUUGUCGUCAGCUCGUGUCGUGAGAUGUUGGGUUAAGUCCCGCAACGAGCGCAACCCUUAUGUUCAGUUACUAACGCGUAAUGGCGAGGACUCUGGACAGACUGCCGGGGACAACUCGGA
rnacentral:rRNA from 1 species